UACGUAGGGUCCAAGCGUUAUCCGGAAUUACUGGGCGUAAAGCGUACGUAGGCGGGUGUUUAAGUGAAAUGCGAAAUCUUGUGGCUCAACCAUAUAGACUGUAUUUCAUACUGGGCACCUCGAGGAUGGCAGAGGCAAGUGGAAUUUGUAGUGUAGCAGUGAAAUGCGUAGAUAUUACAAGGAACACCAAUGGCGAAGGCAGCUUGCUGGGCCAUAUCUGACGCUGAGGUACGAAAGCGUGGGGAGCGAACAGG
rnacentral:rRNA from 1 species